GUGCUUGCUUCAACAGCACAUAUACUAAAAUUGGUAUGAUAUAGAGAAGAUUAACACAGCCCCUGCUCAAGGAUGACAUUGAAUUCAUGAAGUGUUUCAUUAAAAA
rnacentral:snRNA from 1 species